rnacentral:rRNA from 1 species
GCGGGAAGACAAGUUGGAAGUGAAAUCUAUGGGCUCAACCCAUAAACUGCUUUCAAAACUGUUUUUCUUGAGUAGUGCAGAGGUAGGCGGAAUUCCCGGUGUAGCGGUGGAAUGCGUAGAUAUCGGGAGGAACACCAGUGGCGAAGGCGGCCUACUGGGCACCAACUGACGCUGAGGCUCGAAAGUGUGGGUAGCAAACAGGAUUAGAUACCCUGGUAGUCCACACCGUAAACGAUGAUUACUA